CUAAAAGUAAAAAAUGAGUCAUUGAAUUGUUUUUUGCAUAUAAAGUUGUAUAUUACUGCCCGAUGAUCGAUGUGGCUUGGGUUGAUGAGCUGGAGCUGGUGGUGGAGAGAAAAAAGUGGUGACUUAGAAAGAUGGGAAGCAAGCUAGUGGGAGCUCUGAGUAGAGUUGUUCGACUCCAUAGGCACGUCAGGGUUAGCAACAGAGGGUGUCGCUUGUGCUUUCUUGAACCCCAUGGUAGAUUGGAGGAGAUGGCUGAUCAGAACCUCAUAUAGGGGAUGAGGGUUCCUUCCUCUCUCACAAUUCUAUUGCCACAAAGUAUCAAUUAAUCUGGCUCAGACUGAUGAGCUAGAGCCAAUAAUGAAGAGGUGACAAUGGCAACCUAAGAAGCCAAGAGGCAAGCCAAGGAUCUUGAUGGAGCAAUCAACAGCUGGAUUCUCAAUCCUACCUCCAAGAGUGCCCUAAAAUACCACAAGCAAAGAAAAUUUGCUUGCCAGGGUUUUUCCAAUAUAGAACCCUUUAAUUCCUAGGUCAAUCUUCCUCGGUAGAUCGAAGGAGGUUUUGAGUAAGAGUAGGUAAAGAGAGAAAGAAUGAAUAGGAGAAGCUAAAGUGAUGUGAGAAUUUGAGC
rnacentral:lncRNA from 1 species